CCUUCGAUAGCUCAGUUGGUAGAGCGGAGGACUGUAGAUCCUUAGGUCGCUGGUUCAAAUCCGGCUCCGAGAA
rnacentral:tRNA from 1 species